UACGAAGGGUGCAAACGUUGCUCGGAAUCAUUGGGCGUAAAGCGCACGUAGGCGGCUUGCCAAGUCGGACGUGAAAUCCCUCAGCUCAACUGAGGACGUGCAUCCGAAACUGGCGAGCUUGAGUACUGAAGAGGAUCGCGGAAUUCCCGGUGUAGAGGUGAAAUUCGUAGAUAUCGGGAGGAACACCGGUGGCGAAGGCGGUUCUCUGGGCCUGUACUGACGCUGAGGAGCGAAAGCGUGGGGAGCGAACAGG
rnacentral:rRNA from 1 species